rnacentral:rRNA from 1 species
UACGAAGGGGGCUAGCGUUGCUCGGAAUCACUGGGCGUAAAGCGCACGUAGGCGGACUCUUAAGUCGGUGGUGAAAUCCUGGAGCUCAACUCCAGAACUGCCUUCGAUACUGGGAGUCUCGAGUUCGGGAGAGGUGAGUGGAACUGCGAGUGUAGAGGUGAAAUUCGUAGAUAUUCGCAAGAACACCAGUGGCGAAGGCGGCUCACUGGCCCGAUACUGACGCUGAGGUGCGAAAGCG